UACGUAGGGGGCUAGCGUUAUCCGGAAUUACUGGGCGUAAAGGGUGCGUAGGUGGUUUCUUAAGUCAGAGGUGAAAGGCUACGGCUCAACCGUAGUAAGCCUUUGAAACUGGGGAACUUGAGUGCAGGAGAGGAGAGUGGAAUUCCUAGUGUAGCGGUGAAAUGCGUAGAUAUUAGGAGGAACACCAGUUGCGAAGGCGGCUCUCUGGACUGUGACUGACACUGAGGCACGAAAGCGUGGGGAGCAAACAGG
rnacentral:rRNA from 1 species